rnacentral:rRNA from 1 species
UACGUAGGGGGGCAAGCGUUGUCCGGAAUCAUUGGGCGUAAAGAGCGUGUAGGCGGCCUGAUAAGUCGGCUGUGAAAGUCAAGGGCUCAACCCUUGAAUGCCGGCCGAUACUGUCAGGCUAGAAUCCGGAAGAGGCGAGUGGAAUUCCUGGUGUAGCGGUGAAAUGCGCAGAUAUCAGGAGGAACACCUAUGGCGAAGGCAGCUCGCUGGGACGGUAUUGACGCUGAGACGCGAAAGCGUGGGGAGCGAACAGG